GACGAACGCUGGCGGCGUGCCUAACACAUGCAAGUCGUGCGAGAAAGUUCCUUCGGGAGCGAGUAAAGCGGCGCACGGGUGAGUAACACGUAGGUAACCUGCCCCCCAGUCUGGAACAACUAGAGGAAACUCUAGCUAAUGCCGGAUGAGACCACGAUCCCUUCGGGGGUUGCGGCCAAAGAUGGCCUCUACUUGUAAGCUAUCGCUGAGGGAUGGGCCUGCGGGCCAUUAGCUUUGUUGGUGAGGUAACGGCUCACCAAGGCUGUGAUGGCUAGCUGGUCUGAGAGGAUGACCAGCCACACUGGGACUGAGACACGGCCCAGACUCCUACGGGAGGCAGCAGUGGGAAUAUUGCGCAAUGGGCGAAAGCCUGACGCAGCGACGCCGCGUGGGUGAUGAAGGCCUUC
rnacentral:rRNA from 1 species